UGGGACAACCGGAGACGACUGUGCUCCCAGUCGCUCAGUCCGCGCCCCGACACGCAAUCACACGGACACUUGUUAAGGACGACGGCGUUAUCGCCGUUUCUCUCACUCGGGGCUUUUCAAAUCGGUUCAUAAUUCCCGCUACCGCGCGCCGGAACAGUUCGAAGGACUCCCCCGCAUACCGGUUUUUUCGUCGAUCAUCAACCAACGAUACCCUACGAUAUUUUUGCUGAUACUAACACAACCGAAUUCACAACACACUAACCAACUAUGACUUUCGAGAACAAGCAUUAUCUCGUCCAGGGCCUCACGCCAACGCCCUAAGUCCUGAAUAAGAAAAGGAUUUAUUGCGCAAAAGAGUACGGUACGACAAGCCCGUGUAUGACUCGUUGAAUAAAUCGUUGUGCCAUCGAACAAACCGUGGGUCACCGCUAUUCAAACCGCAGAUAUUUUAUCGCGGAAAUUGACUUUGAAUCUUUCAUUCCUUGAGAAAAUAGGCGACGUAUCUAAAGUGUUUAAACGCGUGAGCAUUUCACGGAAUUCUUCAUUUAUUCAUCCGAAAUCUCUCUUCACGGCAUUUUUGUUUAUGCACAUUUAUUCAACUUGAAACUUUAAUUAAAUGUAAUAUAUAAAUUGGAUUUUGUGUACUAUAUAAUCUUAAUAACACAAUCGCUUGGUUGGAGAGAAAUCUCUAGGAUAAUUAAGUAUAGUCCAAUUAAGUAUCCGUAUUUGCCAAGUAAUAUCAGUUGUUAGCUCUGCGUGUAAGAAUCUGAGAUUUUCACGUCAAAUGGGAGAGCUUUUUCUGCGAGAAAAAAUUAUGCGCUAAAAUUGUGGAAACGGCAGAGAGGUGUGUUUCCGCCCUAAAUCGCUAUCCUUGUAAAUUGUCGACCAUUUGGCGUGAAUUUCGAGGGUGCAGGUGUAUCCGGCCGGAAAGUCUGCUUCUGGUGGCAGCAGAUGGAACAUGAAAAGCGCGGAAAAAGCAAGAAAAUUCGCUGACAUCGCGCGUCUGCAUGCACAGUGCCCAUUGAGAAAUCGAUGGUAGCAGGGGUCGCCAGCGAAAUGGAAAAAAAUCUGCACAAUAGCUGCUAUGGCAUUGUACUCCAAAAGUCAUGAGUUCAAUCAUUGCGCGCCAAAAGUAUCGCGUUUGUCAGAAUUUCAACCAGUUUAUCUGUCUAAAACAGCUUCUAUGAUUCUUCUCGAUGCGAUGUACGAUAGAAGAAGCACACGAUAUAAUAAAAAAAAGCAAAAAGAUACGAGCAAAAAGAUGGCUACGCUUACAAAUUAUAACAAUGUUCAUUAUAAAAAGCUGCAAAAAAAUAAAUAAAAACGUGCAAAAGAGCGAUAACAAGACAAA